rnacentral:rRNA from 1 species
GGCCGCAGUAUACUAACUGUGCAAAGGUAGCAUAAUCAUUAGUCUUUUAAUUGGAGGCUGGUAUGAAUGGUUGGACGAAAUAUUAACUGUUUCAUAAAAAUUUAUAAUAAAAUUUAAUUUUUUAGUUAAAAAGCUAAAAUUUAUUUUAAAGACGAGAAGACCCUAUAAAUCUUUAUAUUUAAAUUAUUAUAAUUUUUAAGAAUUUUUUUUUUAUUAUAAUUAAUAAUAUUUUAUUGGGGUGAUAUUAAAAUUUAAUAAACUUUUAAAAUUUUUUUUACCAUUAAUUUAUGAAUUAUUGAUCCAUUAUUAAUGAUUAAAAAAAUAAGUUACUUUAGGGAUAACAGCGUAAUUUUUUUGGAGAGUUCAUAUUAAUAAAAAAGAUUGCGACCUCGAUGUUGGAUU